AGGACGAACGCUGGCGGCGUGCCUAAUACAUGCAAGUAGAACGCUGAAGAGAGGAGCUUGCUCUUCUUGGAUGAGUUGCGAACGGGUGAGUAACGCGUAGGUAACCUGCCUUGUAGCGGGGGAUAACUAUUGGAAACGAUAGCUAAUACCGCAUAACAAUGGAUGACACAUGUCAUUUAUUUGAAAGGGGCAAUUGCUCCACUACAAGAUGGACCUGCGUUGUAUUAGCUAGUAGGUGAGGUAACGCUCACUAGUCGACGAUACAUAGCCGACCUGAGAGGGUGAGUCGGCCACGACUGGGACCUGAGACACCGGCCAGACUCCGUAGGGAGCUAGACGAGUAGGGGAAUCCGUUACGGGACGUAACGGUCGGGG
rnacentral:rRNA from 1 species